rnacentral:rRNA from 1 species
AGUUGCGAACUCGCGAGAGUAAGCUAAUCUCUUAAAGCCGUUCUCAGUUCGGACUGUAGGCUGCAACUCGCCUACACGAAGUCGGAAUCGCUAGUAAUCGCGGAUCAGCAUGCCGCGGUGAAUACGUUCCCGGGCCUUGUACACACCGCCCGUCACACCAUGGAAGUUUGCAAUGCCCAAAGUCGGUGGCCUAACCAUUUGGAGGGAACCGCCUAAGGCAGGACAGAUGACUGGGGUGAAGUCGUAACAAGGUAUC